rnacentral:misc_RNA from 1 species
AUAGGCAAUCAUUUUUGAACACUUCUAAGUGGAUUGAGGAGGUACGAACAGAACGAGGCAGUGAUGUUAUUAUUGUCCUUGUUGGGAACAAAACUGAUCUUGUUGAUAAAAGGCAAGUAUCUAUAGAGGAAGGAGAUAACAAGGCAAAAGAGUUUGGAGUGAUGUUUAUAGAAACUAGUGCAAAAGCAGGGUUCAAUAUUAAG